rnacentral:rRNA from 1 species
GACGAACGCUGGCGGCGUGCCUAACACAUGCAAGUGGAGCGACGAACCAGGCCUCGGCCUGGGGCAAAGCCGCGAACGGGUGAGUAACACGUGGGUAACCUGCCCUGAUGAUCGGGACAACUCGAGGAAACUCGAGCUAAUACCGAAUGUGCCCCUUGAUCGCAAGGUCUUUGGGGAAAGGAAGCUUCGGCCUCCGCAUCGGGAUGGGCCCGCGGCCCAUUAGCUUGUUGGUGAGGUAAUGGCUCACCAAGGCAACGAUGGGUAGCUGGUCUGAGAG